AACGAACGCUGGCGGCAUGCCUAACACAUGCAAGUCGAACGAACCCUUCGGGGUUAGUGGCGCACGGGUGCGUAACGCGUGGGGAGUCUGCCCUUUGCUUCGGAAUAACAGUUAGAAAUGACUGCUAAUACCGGAUGAUGUCGUAAGACCAAAGAUUUAUCGGCAAAGGAUGAACCCGCGUAGGAUUAGCUAGUUGGUGGGGUAAAGGCCUACCAAGGCGACGAUCCUUAGCUGGUCUGAGAGGAUGAUCAGCCACACUGGGACUGAGACACGGCCCAGACUCCUACGGGAGGCAGCAGUGGGGGAAUAUUGGACAAUGGGCGGCAAGCCUGAUCCAGCAAUAGCCGCGUGAGUGAU
rnacentral:rRNA from 1 species